AGUGAACGCUGGCGGUAGGCCUAACACAUGCAAGUCGAACCGCAGCACAGUAAGAGCUUGCUCUUACGGGUGGCGAGUGGCGGACGGGUGAGGAAUACAUCGGAAUCUACUUUUUCGUGGGGGAUAACGUAGGGAAACUUACGCUAAUACCGCAUACGACCUACGGGUGAAAGCAGGGGAUCUUCGGACCUUGCGGGAUUGAAUGAGCCGAUGUCGGAUUUGCUAGUUGGGGGGGUAAAGGCCCACCAAGGCGACGAUCCGUAGCUGGUCUGAGAGGAUGAUCAGCCACACUGGAACUGGAACACGGUCCAGACUCCUACGGGAGGCAGCAGUGGGGAAUAUUGGGCAAUGGGCGCAAGCCUGAUCCAGCCAUACCGCGUGGGUGAAGAAGGCCUUCGGGUUGUAAAGCCCUUUUGUUGGGAAAGAAAAGCAGCAGGUUAAUACCCCGCUGUUCUGACGGUACCCAAAGAAUAAGCACCGGCUAACUUCGUG
rnacentral:rRNA from 1 species